rnacentral:rRNA from 1 species
AGAGUUUGAUCCUGGCUCAGGAUGAACGCUAGCUACAGGCUUAACACAUGCAAGUCGAGGGGCAGCAUGGUCUUAGCUUGCUAAGGCCGAUGGCGACCGGCGCACGGGUGAGUAACACGUAUCCAACCUGCCGUCUACUCUUGGACAGCCUUCUGAAAGGAAGAUUAAUACAAGAUGGCAUCAUGAGUCCACAUGUUCACAUGAUUAAAGGUAUUCCGGUAGACGAUGGGGAUGCGUUCCAUUAGAUAGUAGGCGGGGUAACGGCCCACCUAGUCUUCGAUGGAUAGGGGUUCUGAGAGGAAGGUCCCCCACAUUGGAACUGAGACACGGUCCAAACUCCUACGGGAGGCAGCAGUGAGGAAUAUUGGUCAAUGGGCGAGAGCCUGAACCAGCCAAGUAGCGUGAAGGAUGACUGCCCUAUGGGUUGUAAACUUCUUUUAUAAAGGAAUAAAGUCGGGUAUGCAUACCCGUUUGCAUGUACUUUAUGAAUAAGGAUCGGCUAACUCCGUGCCAGCAGCCGCGGUAAUACGGAGGAUCCGAGCGUUAUCCGGAUUUAUUGGGUUUAAAGGGAGCGUAGAUGGAUGUUUAAGUCAGUUGUGAAAGUUUGCGGCUCAACCGUAAAAUUGCAGUUGAUACUGGAUAUCUUGAGUGCAGUUGAGGCAGGCGGAAUUCGUGGUGUAGCGGUGAAAUGCUUAGAUAUCACGAAGAACUCCGAUUGCGAAGGCAGCCUGCUAAGCUGCAACUGACAUUGAGGCUCGAAAGUGUGGGUAUCAAACAGGAUUAGAUACCCUGGUAGUCCACACGGUAAACGAUGAAUACUCGCUGUUUGCGAUAUACGGCAAGCGGCCAAGCGAAAGCGUUAAGUAUUCCACCUGGGGAGUACGCCGGCAACGGUGAAACUCAAAGGAAUUGACGGGGGCCCGCACAAGCGGAGGAACAUGUGGUUUAAUUCGAUGAUACGCGAGGAACCUUACCCGGGCUUAAAUUGCAGAUGAAUUACGGUGAAAGCCGUAAGCCGCAAGGCAUCUGUGAAGGUGCUGCAUGGUUGUCGUCAGCUCGUGCCGUGAGGUGUCGGCUUAAGUGCCAUAACGAGCGCAACCCUUGUUGUCAGUUACUAACAGGUUCUGCUGAGGACUCUGACAAGACUGCCAUCGUAAGAUGUGAGGAAGGUGGGGAUGACGUCAAAUCAGCACGGCCCUUACGUCCGGGGCUACACACGUGUUACAAUGGGGGGUACAGAGGGCCGCUACCACGCGAGUGGACGCCAAUCCCCAAAACCUCUCUCAGUUCGGACUGGAGUCUGCAACCCGACUCCACGAAGCUGGAUUCGCUAGUAAUCGCGCAUCAGCCACGGCGCGGUGAAUACGUUCCCGGGCCUUGUACACACCGCCCGUCA